GGAGAUGUGGUUGUUACACCUGUGACAUCUGCCAUCCCAUUUCCAUCAGGGUUCAUUUGGAUGAUCUGGCGGGCUAGCUCAGUUUUACAUUCUUCCCUCAUGGCUCCAUGUGCGUCCUUCCUGAAGCUGGGCCUUUGGUGGAAGAAGAUGACCUUGCCCUUUAGAGAAGGGUUGUUAUUUGGUCCAGAGUAAAUGAGCCACUGUACUUCUCUAUCAGAGCCUCCAAAUAAGCAGAACCAGGUCACAAAUGUCAAGUCUUGCC
rnacentral:sRNA from 1 species